UACAUAAGUAUGCAAAUCGUAUAAUGACUAUGAAAGUAUAAUAUUAAAAUCCUUUGAAGGAAUUUACUUUGAAAAAUCCUUAGUCGAUAACGCUAAUCUUUCUCAGGAAAACGAUGAUAAAAAUAACUCUGAUUUAGAUGAUUAUACUGAAGAUCAACUUUACGUACAUUCAAUUAUUUCAAUAAUAAAAAAAACUAAAAUACAAAACGCAGAUAAGUGGUGUAAAUCUAAUGCAG